CACGCUGCCGCGCCGGCCAGUUGAUCUGCCAGGCGUGCAGGCCCCGGGCGUGGCCCACCUUGCCGCGGAUGCCGUCGGUGCUCUGGGCCACCGGGUGCCGGUGGAAGACCCCAACUUCAGCACAUGCCAACCCUAUCCAGAGAGCUCUGGCUAAUGUUUAAUCUGGGGGAAACCAGAGCAUGUAAAAAUUUGCAACACUAGACAGCCCGAAGAUAGCAGAAUACAGUUACUUCUUUUCAUAUCCCAAAUCACCUAAAAUAAAGGAGAAAGAGAAAGAGAAAUGCAAAUUUUAUCUUCAGCAAAACCAGAACACAUUUGUAACCCGAACCACAACUUAUAAGGAAAGACUGCCAAAAACAGUAAAGGACUGCCAAAAGCAGCGAAGAUCAAACGGGGGUGAGAAAACACCUACAGAAAACACCUGUGGCUGCAGAUCUCGGAUAAAGCUGGCAGAGCCAACCAGUAGCUGGCACUCUCUGAUGGAAAAAAACCAAUGGUUCCUAAACAGAACAGUGGGAGCAGGGUAUGUGGUCUGGCAGUGGGAGCUGCCUCGGACACCCUGAGGACAGAGGAGGGCAGGGGUAGCAAGAAAACCACAGGCCUGCCAUCGUCACAGGAAGCAGUGUGUUGUUGAGGCAGAGUGGGAGAUUGGGGGAAGCCCAUAGCUACAGAACUCUGCUGCUGGGUAGAAGCGAGGCCGAAAGAAAUCACGGCCUCAGUCCUAGGAACAAAAUUACCAUGAACCGGGAGCAAUCCUGCUCUCCUAAAAUACUUCCUGGCACCUCCCCUCUGCAUAAAUCCCCUGCAAAAUGUUGAUCUAGAGGAAUUAGCACAUGACAUAGUCAAAGAUGCUUACAGGAGAAAUAAAGGAGGGAGAGAACAACAACAACAACAAAUGGCAAAUCAAGAAAACUCACCGGAAAAAAGCUGUCACAAAGCAUAUAAAAAUUGUGACUAAAUUUGUAAAGUAAUUUUGUGAUCACUUAUUUCAGAAGGGAGACAACUAGCACAGUCUAAAA